rnacentral:rRNA from 1 species
UGCCUAAGACAUGCAAGUCGAACGAGGGGACCAAGGAUGAUUAUGGAAGUUGGAGUGCUGCACAAAGACCGGAAUAAUUGAGAUGGAUUUCCCUAGUGGCAAACGGGUGAGUAACACGUGGGUUACUACCUCUAAGUUGGGGAUAACAGUUGGAAACGAUUGCUAAUACCGAAUGUGCUCUACGGAGUAAAGGAGCUUUCAAGCUUCGCUUAGAGAUGGGCCUGCGGUGUAUUAGCUAGUUGGUGAGGUAAUGGCCCACCAAGGCUGCGAUACAUAGCCGAACUGAGAGGUUAAUCGGCCACAUUGGGACUGAGACACGGCCCAAACUCCUACGGGAGACAGCAGUUAGGAAUAUUCGUCAAUGGGGGAAACCCUGAACGAGCGAUGCCGCGUGAAUGAUGACAGCCCUUCGGGUUGUAAAAAUUCUGUUGUUUGGAAAGAACGAAGAGAUUAGGAAAUGAUUCUCUUUUGACGGUACCAUUCAAGAAAGCUCCGGCUAACUACGUGCCAGCCGCCGC